CGCCAAUAAGUCAUCAAAUAAGUUUGUGGGUCUAACAGAAUUCGAUGAAGCUAAAAUUCCCGAAUUACCAGGAGAUUUAAAUCCCAAUAUUGAAGAACAAUACAAUGUAACUUUCGAAGAAUGUUUUAUACCAACAUUAACAGCAAAGCUGAGUGCAAAAG